UCACAUUGAAAUGCUGGUUCUCAUAAGAUCACCAAAGUUAAGCAACCUUGAGCCUAAUCAGUAUCUAGAGGAGUGACUGCUUGGGAAUACCAGGUGCUGUAAG